AAGCGGACGGCUGACGGAGUAGCUGACAGUGCUCAGCGCCAGGAGUCCCUCCAGAGCCCUCCAUCCGCAGCAUGAUUCUAGCACCAGUGAGACUGGAAGGAGAUGGGGCCGUUAUCCCUGUUGCUUCUUAACGGCAGCCUUUGUUUCCACUUGGAAAAUGACUUGGGACAAAGGUAAUUCUUGGUCCUGCACCGUCAAAAUAUUUGUUAUGUUUAUUUUGUUUCUGGUUCUUCAAGCCAGGAAUCGCAUUUCAAGUUGGCAUGACUGUUCUCAGGGAAGGCUACAGGAUAUACAUUAUACUGAGGCAGAGGAGGAGGAAGAAAAAUAGAAAGGAA
rnacentral:lncRNA from 1 species